rnacentral:tRNA from 1 species
GAGCCUAUAGCUCAGUUGGUUAGAGCACACGCCUGAUAAGCGUGAGGUCGGUGGUUCAAGUCCAUUUAGGCUCA